UGCAGUGAAUGGAAGGGCCUCUCACAGUCAAACUCCAUGGCGCCAAAAUUAAAACCAGCGUUAAGGAUGAAACCGGCAAUAAGGAAAGCAUCACCAGAUUUCUUUACAUUACUUAUUGCAGGACAGAAUUAUUUGAGCAGUAAUGCUUCCAGGACCUUUUGAUUCACCGGACAGAGACCAAUCCAAAACGCAUAAUGCCAGGGAAAAUAUAGAGUUAUACUCUGAAGGAUUUGGAAAAGACUAUUUAGCAAUCACAGCAGCACUUUGGCACUUGUGCGAGAGCGUUGCACGCCUGUGCGAGCACAACCUCGCGUCUCUUCCGUUGGACUUGACUUUGUCUGUAUUUGCAUCCAGCUGUCUUCCUGCACGAUAACCAGAACACCGGAAAUUUGCUGAGGAUGACACACACAAUCAAUGAGGAGAUUUUAGUCAUUGCAUCAAAUUAGCAAAUUCUCAAUCCUGACUAAGAUACAGCUAGAAAACGAGCUGCCAGCAACACCCUCUGAAGCAGAUGGUUCCCACCACUUGGAAUGCUCCUUUCUGUGCACUUCAGCAGCUCCUGAAAUAACAGAGUGCUGCAGAACGGAGAAGGAAGAUGACUGGAAAAAUGGAGGCACAUAGAAAUGAAAUGACUAUCUAAAGUCACACCAGUCUCCUUCUUUAACCUGGUAAAUGGGUAAGUAGGCAUGCCAUUUUGACAUACUAAUAUAUGUGUUAAGGUAUUAAUUUCCCAUACUUCUUGAAUAUAUGGAUCAUUGGGGAGCAGUUUCUGUUGAAAACAGCAACAGUCAUGUUUUUCUCACUUCAAACUUCUUUUCCUAUUGUGAGUCUUCUAUUUAGCUGGAAGAAGUUCUUAGUUUUGUCUUAGCUUGGCAAGAAGAAAGUAUAAGAAAAUGGAGUAAUUUAGAUGACAGAAAACAGGGAUUUAAGCUGGAAUGCACAGCAAUCAGAGCUCGGGGAGUGGGAUGCCAUUCAGACACACACUGGACUACAGAAUAUCAGUGGCAAAUUCCUCCCAAUCCAUUCAGGGUGGACUAUUUCGGGUGAAAAAUUAAUCAACAGUGUUUCAAGGUAUUUAGGAGGGCAAAGAAGCAAUGUCUUUCCUUUAUGGCUACACUGCAGUGAUCAGUGCCUCUGCAGGUGUGUAAUUUAAAGAGGUGCUAGGAAAAAGAUGAACAUAAACAGAAAGGAUACAGGGUGUACGCGAAGGUUACUGUAGAGGUUGCAGCUGAAUGACUGCAGGGCUACAUAACCCAGCCUCAGAUAAUACUCAAGUUUAUUUGCCUUGAUCUGAACUCUGCUUAGAGCCAGGACAGAAUGAUGAGAGGUUAGCAGGGUGAUGCCACACAGAACAAAAUAACCUGCAGAGAGAAGUUUCUUACACAAUGAGACAUGGCAGUCUGAGUCCCUACCGCUGUGGAUCACUGCAACACCACAUGUAUUUGUAGAAACUCCAUGCAUUUUACCAUGCGGCUGCAAUACAGCUGAAUACUGCAGCUCUUUGACCAGCCCCAGUAGCACCAAACUCAGGCCUCACGUCCCAGUAACCACACAGCCACUCGGUCAGUCUGGCUCAGAAACAAUUAAAAAAGAAAGAUUCUUAAUGACAUUGACCUCUGCCAGAAAGCAAAGUCUUCCUUCAUCUG
ensembl:lncRNA